rnacentral:tRNA from 1 species
GGAGCCGUCUUCUAAAUGGACUAGGAAAACAGCCUUUCAAGCUGCUGAAUGCGGGUUCGAUCCCCGUCGGCUCUACCA